rnacentral:SRP_RNA from 1 species
CGUCAGGAACCGCGGAGUGUGGGCUGGUGGACCGGGUCAGGUCGGAAACGAAGCAGCCCCAACUUGUCCCCCAUUGCCGUGGUUUCCUGGCAUUU